rnacentral:rRNA from 1 species
AUUGAACGCUGGCGGCAGGCUUAACACAUGCAAGUCGAGCGGAGAUGAGGUGCUUGCACCUUAUCUUAGCGGCGGACGGGGGAGUAAUGCUUAGGAAUCUGCCUAUUAGUGGGGGACAACAUUCCGAAAGGAAUGCUAAUACCGCAUACGCCCUACGGGGGAAAGCAGGGGAUCUUCGGACCUUGCGCUAAUAGAUGAGCCUAAGUCGGAUUAGCUAGUUGGUGGGGUAAAGGCCUACCAAGGCGACGAUCUGUAGCGGGUCUGAGAGGAUGAUCCGCUUCGCUGGGACUGAGACAGUGCCCAGACUCCUGCGGUAGGCAGCAGUUGGGAAUAUUGGACAAUGGGUGGCAGCCUGAUCCAGUCAGGCCGCGUGUGUGAAGAGGGCCUUUUGGUUGUAAAGAACGUUAAGCGAGGAGGAGGCUACCUAGAUUAAUACUCUAGGAUAGUGGACGUUACUCGCAGAAUAAGCACCGGCUAACUCUGUGCCAGCCGCCGCGGUAAAAC